rnacentral:rRNA from 1 species
AACGAACGCUGGCGGCAUGCCUAACACAUGCAAGUCGAACGAACCCUUCGGGGUUAGUGGCGCACGGGUGCGUAACGCGUGGGAAUCUGCCCUUUGCUUCGGAAUAACAGUUAGAAAUGACUGCUAAUACCGGAUGAUGUCUUCGGACCAAAGAUUUAUCGGCAAGGGAUGAGCCCGCGUAGGAUUAGGUAGUUGGUGGGGUAAAGGCCUACCAAGCCGACGAUCCUUAGCUGGUCCGAGAGGGUGAUCAGCCACACUGGGACUGGGACACGGCCCAGACUCCUACGGGAGGCAGCAGUGGGGAAUAUUGGACAAUGGGCGCGAGCCUGAUCCAGCAAUGCCGCGUGAGUGAUGAAGGCCUUAGGGUCGUAAAGCUCUUUUACCAGGGAUGAUAAUGACAGUACCUGGAGAAUAAGCUCCGGCUAACUCCGUGCCAGCAGCCGCGGUAACAC